rnacentral:rRNA from 1 species
AGCGAACGCUGGCGGCAGGCUUAACACAUGCAAGUCGAGCGGGCACUUCGGUGUCAGCGGCAGACGGGUGAGUAACACGUGGGAACGUACCCUUCGGUUCGGAAUAACGCUGGGAAACUAGCGCUAAUACCGGAUACGCCCUUUUGGGGAAAGGUUUACUGCCGAAGGAUCGGCCCGCGUCUGAUUAGCUAGUUGGUGGGGUAAUGGCCUACCAAGGCGACGAUCAGUAGCUGGUCUGAGAGGAUGAUCAGCCACACUGGAACUGAGACACGGCCCAGACUCCUACGGGAGGCAGCAGUGGGGAAUAUUGGACAAUGGGCGCAAGCCUGAUCCAGCCAUGCCGCGUGAGUGAUGAAGGCCUUAGGGUUGUAAAGCUCUUUUGUCCGGGACGAUAAUGACGGUACCGGAAGAAUAAGCCCCGGCUAACUUCGUG